AUGGCCCUUCGUGAGAUAGCCCGGGUAGGGGCUAGGUUCACUUGGACCAAUAAACAGGUGGACCCUAUUCGGAGUGUGCUGGAUCGGGUUCUAGUGUCAGUACAGUGGGAGGUUAUGUUCCCACUGUGUUCUCUGCGGGCGGUCACUCAGAUUGGCUCCGACCACGUCCCACUGUUGUUUGCGUCAGGGGAAGGGUCUCCACCGCGGUCUAGGCAAUUCCACUUCAAACCAUCUUGGCUUCUGCAGCCAGGGUUCGUUGAGAUGGUCCAGGACUGGUGGGUGCGGGCAUCGCAUUACCCGCCUAGAGCUUUCUGUGCCACUGACAUCUGGCAUCACUGCUCUAAAACCACUCGCCAGUUUAUGAGGGACUGGGGCGCCAACCUUGGGGCCGCCUUGAGGUCCCACAAAGGGGUGCUAUUGGACCAGAUUAAGGCCCUUGACGUGACUGCUGACUCAGUCGGUCUGUCGGAUGAAGACUGGUUGCGGAGGUACUCCCUUGAAUCCCUUAUGGAGAUCUUCAAGGGGGAGGAGCUGUUUUGGCAGCGCAGGGGGGGGGGCAAAAGUGGCUCUUACAAGGAGACUCUAAUACCGCUUACUUUUAGGCAAUCGCUAACGGGCGUCGCAGGAAGUGCUCCAUCCCAUGCCUCUGGGAUGGAGACAACCUCCUGGAGCACCCGGAUGAGAUCAGGGCCCAUGUUUACUCCUUUUUUAAGGGGCUCUUCUUGGCAGAACCCCGUGGAGGGGUUUCCUUGGCGGAUGAUUUUCGGCCCCUUGCGGACAGAGUCACCGAUAAUGAGAAUGCGGAUCUAA
rnacentral:rRNA from 1 species